AUCUCAAUUUAGGUAAGAUCACCCGCUGAACUUAAGCAUAUUAUUAAGCGGAGGAAAAGAAACUAACUAGGAUUCCUUUAGUAGCGGCGAGCGAAUCAGGAAUAGCUCAAGAUUUUAAACUAGCAAAUAGUUUUUUGUUGGUGAUGUAGUCUGUAGAAGCGCGAUGCGGAUAUUUCAAAUCGUUCUUUUUUUUUCGAAAAAAGUCUUCUGGAAAGGAGCGCCAAAGAGGGUGAUAGCCCCGUUGUGGAACGAUUUGUUCUUCUGAUUGUUUUUUCAUAUAAGCGCGCUUUGGUCGAGUCGAGUUGUUUGGGAGUACAGCUCUAAUUGGGUGGUAUACUUCAUCUAAAGCUAAAUAUAGACAAGAGUCCGAUAGAGAACAAGUACCGCGAGGGAAAGAUGAAAAGAACUUUGAGAAGAGAGUGAAAUAGUGCUUGAAAUUGUUUAGGGGAAAAGCGAAUGGAGUUUUAUGUUUUUUCAUGCAUGUUUCAUUUUUUUUUAAUAAAGGAAUGGUUUCGUGUUGAAAAAGAAAAAUCGAAGUUUUUUUUAUCAUUUUUCUGUUUUGUCAUUUCUGUAAGUAACAAUACAAUGGCUUCGGUUUUAAGUUUUAUGUCAGUUUCCUUUUUGUUAGCGUAAAGAGAUAUAUGUAUAGAAGAUGUUUAUUU
rnacentral:rRNA from 1 species